ensembl:Y_RNA Y_RNA Y RNA
GGCUGGCCCAAGUGUUUACAACUAAUUGAUCACAACUAGCUGUGGAUUUCUUUGUUUCUUCACUCCCACUACUUCUCUUGGCUAGCCUUAA